rnacentral:rRNA from 1 species
UGGGGAAUAUUGCACAAUGGGGGAAACCCUGAUGCAGCGACGCCGCGUGAGCGAUGAAGGCUUUCGAGUCGUAAAGCUCUGUCCUAUGGGAAGAUAAUGACGGUACCAUAGAAGAAAGCCCCGGCUAAUUACGUGCCAGCAGCCGCGGUAAUACGUAAGGGGCGAGCGUUGUCCGGAAUUAUUGGGCGUAAAGAGUGCGUAGGCGGCAAAUUAAGUCAGAUGUGAAAAAUAAGGGCUCAACCCAUAGAUUGCAUCUGAAACUGAUAUGCUUGAGUCAAGGAGAGGAAAGUGGAAUUCCUAGUGUAGCGGUGGAAUGCGUAGAUAUUAGGAGGAAUACCGGUGGAGAAGACGACUUUCUGGACUUAAACUGACGCUGAGGAACGAAAGCGUGAGGAGCAAACAGG